GAGGGUAGAGCUCAGUGCUAGGGUGCUUGCUUAGCAUGCAUGAGGCCUUGGGUUCAAUCCCCAAUACUGCCA
rnacentral:tRNA from 1 species